CAGCAACAUAUCAAACUACAGCUGAAGUCGGAGUUCUCUAUCACUCAACAAAUAUGGGAUUUGUUAUGGAGGUUCUAGAAAUUCACCUUGAGUCAAAGGGAUGGGGGCAGUGCCGACCCAGUGUUGCUGCUGCACGACCAACUGAUGUGCAAUUAAGAUGGAGGCGGCGCGACCUCUAUCUGUUGAGGUGCGACUUGUUGCUGCGACCUGCAGAUGGGGGUAGGUUUGUCGAUCUUAGAAGAGGGUGCGGGUGGAAACGGUCGGAGAAGAAGCUGUCGGUGGCGCCCUUCGGAGCAGAGGGUGUCGGUGGCGCCAGUCAAUGUAGGGUGAAGGGGCACCGUCGGGGUUGGUAUGAGAGAGGAGUGAGAGAGAAAUAAAUUUGACUUAUAAUCAUGAACUUAAUAUGUCAUAUUAUGAUGUAGAGGUGAAGAGCUAACAUAUAAUCUAUUCGAGUAUGAAAUGCGAGAUAGUAUUAUUAUC